UUUGUAAGUCUGUCGUCAAAUCUCCGGGCUCAACCUGGGAAUUGAGAUGGAGAAUGCAAGGCUAGAAUAUGGCAGAGGGGGGUAGCAUUCCACGUGUAGCAGUGAAAUGCGUAGAGAUGUGGACGAACACCGAUGGCGAAGGCAGCCCCCUGGGUCAAGAUUGACGCUCAUGCACGAAAGCGUGGGGAGCAAACAGGAUUAGAUACCCUGGUAGUCCACGCCCUAAACGAUGUCUAUUAGUUGUCUGGUUCUAAUUAACUUGGUAACGCAGCUAACGCGUGAAGUAGACCGCCUGGGGAGUACGGUCGCAAGAUUAAAACUCAAAGGAAUUGACGGGGACCCGCACAAGCGGUGGAUGAUGUGGAUUAAUUAGAUGCAACGCGAAAAACCUUACCUACCCUUGUCAUGUCAGGAAGGCCGAAGAGAUUUGGCUGUGCCCGAAAGGGAACCUGAACACAGGUGGGGCAUGGUUGUCGUCAGUUCGUGUCGUGAGAUGUUGGGUUAAGUCCCGCAACGAGCGCAACCCUUGUCUUUCGUUGUUACGCAAGAGCACUUUAAUGAGACUGCCGGUGACAAACCGGAGGAAGGGGGGGAGGACGUCAAGUCCUCAUGGCCCUUAUGGGUAGGGCUUCCCACGUCAUCCAAUGGUACAUACAGAGGGCCGCCAACCCGGGAGGGGGAGCUAAUCCCAGAAAGCGUAUUGUAGUCCGGAUGGUAGUUUGCAAUUGGAUUCCGUGAAGUGGGAAUCGUUAGUAAUCGCGGAUCACCAUGCCGCGGGGAAUACGUUCCCGGGUCUUGUCCACACCGCCCGUCCCACCAUGGGAGCGGGUUCUACCAGAAGUAGGUAGCUAACC
rnacentral:rRNA from 1 species